rnacentral:rRNA from 1 species
UAUCUGAAAUCAAGCAGGACCACCCGCUGAACUUAAGCAUAUCACUAAGCGGAGGAGAAGAAAUUAACUAAGAUUGCCUCAGUAACGGCGAGUGAAGCGGCAAAAGCCCAAACUGGAAAUCUUGUACACUACGUGUGCACGAAUUGUAAUCUAAAGGAUGCUUGCUCACCGGGUGGUGGCACAGAAGUGCCUUCGAAUGGGCCGCCAAAGAGGGUGCCAGCCCCGUCUGUGGUGCCACCGCCUAACGAGUGGGUAUUCAAAGAGUCGGGUUGUUUUGGAUUGCAGCCCUAAGUGGGAGAUAGACUUCUUCUAAGGCUAAAUAUAUAUGGGAAACCGAUAGCGAACAAGUACUGUGAAGGAAAGAUGAAAAGAACUUUGAAAAGAGAGUCAAAAGACUUGAAAUCGUUGAGAAGGAAGCGGUAGAAAUUUAUUCUUCGGCAGAGGUCGGUGGUGGUUGCCUAACCAUUGCUGGAGCACAGUACUGCAUAAGGCUGUGCCCGGUACCUGGGGGAAGCGGCGCCUUGACCUUUGUCGUGAGGCAAAUGAGGCCCCGCA